AAAGCACAUGCCUUUAAGCACCUGAAAGAUAAAAAUGACAGAAAUUGCAUAAGCACAACAGUUUCUAAAAAUGAAUAACUAGUAGAAUCGAGUACACCUCUCAUCUGUUUGCAGGAAGUAGUGCAUAGAUAUUCUGUCACGAGUCCCACAUCUACAGAUUACAAAGAAUUUAAAGGGCUUAUAAGAGUGGAGGACUAGCUACCUAAUUGGUUAGUUUUAUCCUUUUAGCAAUAGUUGGUCCUAACCCGAGUAAAUCUAUCUCACUCACUGCAGUCUCUUGCCUCAGCCCACUCAUUCGCCUCAGCCCAAUUUGUCAAGGUUUCCAGUGUUGCUGGUUUCAGGGGGAGGAUAUUAAAUUUGAAGUGUCAACCAUUGCCAAGAGUUCCAUAUCUAAAGAUUACAAAGAAUUCCAAGGGCUUAUAAGGGUCGAGUUCGAAAAAACUUUAACGAACCAAGCUUGAACUCUUUAAAGCUCAGCUCGGAUCUAUUCGUUUACACCCCUACCUAUAGAAAACAAAGUGCCAUUAGAAUUUGGAACCUUCCUCCUACCCCUAGCAAAGAAAAAAGGGGGGAGAGGGUGGAGGAUUUCUAAGCUGGCAGGCAAUACAGGAAAAUGAAGAUGGAGAGGAAUCAUUCGAUCAUCAUUCACUACAGCGCUGAUGGUAAAUAACAUGCAAAAG
rnacentral:misc_RNA from 1 species